CUCCUGGGCUGGCCGGGCGGACCCCGGAAAGGGGGAGCCGCGGGGACGCAGCGACAGACUCGGGGUACUGGCAGUGGCAGCCCACGCCUCCCAGGGGUUGCAGGCCUGAGCGCCGGUGUUGGGCCAGUCUCCUGGGCCUGGCACGCCCUGGUUUGCUCUGUACCCAUGGUUUGUGGCGGGGCAAGACGUUAAGUUGAGUAACACCGAGCUGAGUGCCAUGAGAGGACAGUGGCAACCUUGGAGGCCUCACGGUGAAGGUGGCAGAGCCUUUGUUAGCCUGGGUGCUCAGGACGAAGAGCUGCUCUUGCCAACUGGGAACAUUUGCCUUGAGCUCUUUUGUGACAGAUAAGGUUUUACUAUACUUCAGCCAAGAUGCAAAUGUUGGAUAUAUUUGUAUAGCAGCUAAAAGUACUCUAAUAAUACAUAUUAUGAAAUCACCACGUACCCAAAAUAUUAACAAAAUUCUUGCAAUAUUUGUAUGAGAACUGCUGGACUUUGCUUUCUUAACUCAUUUACUGUUGCUAUGGAAAAAAGAGAAUAACUUGGACAAUGAAAUAAUCUCAAAUGAGGUGGCUUUAUUUUUGCAGAUGUUGGAGGUCUUCUGUGAAUCAUUGUGUGCAGAGAAUAUUUCUUUGUAAGAAGAUGGAAUAGUUUUUGUGACUGGUUACUGUCCCACUGUCCUUCCACCAGGGGCUUGGUCCCCUGUGAUCUGGGAGCUCACCCUUGCAGGCAGCUCCAAGUGACAGAGUGGCCUCAGUGUAUGACAACUGAUAUCUAGAUGCUGGCAGUGCUUGGAAGAAGUUGCUGUACAUUUCUUAUUACUUUAAUCAUAAAUAAGCCUGUGGGUCUGUUUAUU